UAUUGGUAGCUUUCUAAAUUUUUUGCUUGGUGUCGGUGGUCCUAGUAUCACCUGUACGUAGAUGAAAAUGAGUAGGUUUAGUAUUUUGAAUUCUACCAAAUAAAAGAAUUUUCAUCCUUUACGCUCACCACACAACUUGUGUGCAAAAAAAAUAAUAAAAAUAAAUUCUGGAAUCUGGAUGAAAUUUGGAGGAAACAUCAGCAUAUCCAUUCCCUAGGAAACACCUAGGGAAUGUGUUUGCAAAAUGCAGAAAAAGGAACUGUGCACUGAUUAAAGCAAACAUUUGGGCUGACAUUAAUUACAAUGAACUUUAAUCAACUCAAUGUAACCGAACAAACUAUUUACAAAUACAAAUUAAAUAUAUGUACAAAAGAAUGGUAAGAAGCAAGACAAAAGUAUGGUAAGUGCAAUAAUAUAAUAUCAUUUUAAUUUUUCAUACCUUGUGGGCAUUGAGUAGUUCUUUGGCCUUUUUUCUUAAAUCUGGUAUUUCUUCCAUUUUCAUUACUGACAUAGAAGAUGUGUCCUUUGUUGACCAAUUGUAUCCAUUAAUUUGAACAUAGAAACUCGUCUUCUUUCCAACCAUUUCUUCAAAAAUCUGUUUGACGAUAUUGUUUCCAUUUGCCUGCAUUAUCACAUUGAUAUAUUAGUUCGUUAGUUAAGAAUGUAUUUUGCAAUAUAUAGUGAAUAUAUUUUCCAACUGCUUACAUGUGAACUUGCAGUAAUCAUUUCUUCGGGUGUAAUAUCCAAAACAUUGCGAAUUGCCUCAUCAAUUGCAGCUAUCAUCAUGACCGAUGAGUCAUUAUCUUCGAUAUCCAUACUGACCUUAUAA
rnacentral:lncRNA from 1 species